rnacentral:tRNA from 1 species
GAGCCGCUAGCUCAUCAGGUAGAGCACCGGCCUUUUAAGCCGGGUGUGCCGAGUUCGAGUCUCUGGCGGCUCA